CAGAAACAUCACAUACACUGAAUCACGCUAACUCGAUGACACAGACUCAGGUUGCUCGUACUUUCCGUCUCGUUUCCCUCCCCAUGCUGCGUUUGGUAAUCAUCUACCAUUCUUUCUCAGUACUCCGUGUCCCCGGUUCAUUCCACCCUCCCCCUCCAGCAAGCCGGCGCAGACACGCAGACAUGAAUCAGCAGGCAUUGGGAGUGGAGGCCAGAGGACAAGAAAGAACAGUGGACCAACGGAGAGAUGAGUGAUGCUCAGUGCAAAGCUCAAGCCAAAGCCAAAGAACGUAAGAACAGCAAUUCCAAAAACCCCAAGGGUGUAUCAGAAGUGGUUCCAACAGAGGAGGACAAAUCUGACUUGACUGAUCUUGAGCAUGACUGCUUGAGAUGGGAAGGAUCUCUUGAAGACCCCACUGCAGAGGCUCAAAUGGUUGGAGGUCUACAGAGCCAACCGCUGUAAACGUUAUAUGGCAUCAAGACAGGUUUUUCAACAAAAUAUUCAGAAUUUUUUUAAGCAUAAACUCAAACUCUUCAAAACUAAAUACACGAAACAAGCCUGGAGUUUUAACAUGAGAACUUACAGGUGAAUCUCAAUAAAUUUGAAUGAUGGAGAAGUUCAUUUAUUUCAGUAAUUCAACUCAAAUUGUUGAACUUGUAUUAAAUCAGUUCAGUCCACACAGACUAAAAUAGUUUAAGGCUUUGGUUAAUUGUGAAGAUUUUGGCUCACAUUUAACAAAACCCCACCAAUCUCAACAAAUUAGAACAUGGUGGCAUGCCAAUCAGUUAAUCAACUCAAAACACCUGUGAAGGUUUUCUGAGCCUUCAAAACGCUCAGUUUGGUUCACUAGGUUACACAAUCACAGGGAAGACUGCUGAUCUGACAGUUGUCCAGACGAAAAUCAUUGGCAAGCUUCACAAGGAGGGUACGUGGAACUUAUUUUAUUUUUUUUUUGCUCUUUAAAGGUUACAAAUAUGAGUAUGACAAAUGUGAUAUAUUUUUAAACUGAGUAAAAAACAAGACCUGAACCAUGAAUGAGUAACAGUGACUAAAACUGCCCAACCAGUGCAAAUGAUACACUUCCUUUGCAGUACAUUGUAUGUAAAAACAUCCUGGUGUGUGACUGUUUUCUUCCUUUUACAAUGGUGACUCAAGUGUGCAUUGCUUACUAUGCUGUAUCUAAAGCUGUGAUGUAUAACAUUAUAAACUGAAGCUGUAAAAUAUGGUUGCCAAACUGAUUUCACUUUUUUUUUUGUAGUCUGUAAGUAAACCGGACCUAUUAAACGUUACGGUUGAACCACUGAUGGCAGAUGGACUAUUCUUACGAUUCAUUUCAUACCUUUCUGGACCUUGACAGUGUGACUUACUUGGCAGUACAAGGGACAGACACAAGCCUCUUGGUUUUGAUCCAAAAUAUCUUAAAUUGUGUUCCGAAGAUGAACAAGGCUUUUAUGGGUUUGGAACGACAAGGGGAGACCGCCGGAUCAACAUUCAGUCCUGCUGCAGCCACCUCCUCAUCCCUGCAGUUCAAAGUACACAGCCAAUAUUUCAGUAUUUAAACUGGUAUAAAGAAUGGAUGCCACACACCUACCGCUUCUUACUUGAGGUCACCGUAGCCACCAGAUCCAGUCUGUAUCCAGAUCAGAGAGUCACUGCAAUCACCCGGAUCCAGUAUGUAUCCAGACCAGAUGGUGGAUCAACACCUAGAAAGGACUUCUACAGCCCUGAAAGACAGCAGAGACCAGUUCAACUACAGCCCCAAAAGACCUUGUCUCAGAUGACCACCGGGACAAGACCACAGGACACAGAUAAUUCUUCUGCAAAAUCUUACUUUGCUGCAGCCUGGAAUUGAACUGCUGGUUUCGUCUGGUCGGAGGAGAACUGGCCCCCCAACGGAGCCUGGUUUCUCCCAAGGUUUUUUCUCCAUUCUGUCACCGAUGGAGUUUCGGUUCCUUGACGCUGUCAUCUCUGACUCACUUAGUUGGGGACACUUCAUUUACAGCGAUAUCGUUGACUUGAUUGCACAGAUACUAUUUAAAUUGAACAGAGCUGCAUGAUGAAAUCACUGAAUUGCAAUCAAUACCGCAUUAAACACAAAUAACUGCAGCUGCUUGCCAAUCAAUUCUGAUUGCAAAGUACCUUACCAUUAAUAUAAAAGUGUAUUAUAUAAUUUUUAUAAGUUGUUAAACCCAUGUCAAGAAGCGGCACAAGUGGCACAACGGGAUAAGGAGGGUGGAUGAUUAGCGAGGGAUACCCGGUUUGUCUAACCGUCACAACAUAUCGUGUGAACACAUUACUGACCAUUUGAUAAUUUAAUUUCUAGUCUAUAUUCUACUGAUAACUUAAAAUGUUAAAAUUAAUGUUACUAUAAAAAUUUGAGGAAUGUUUCAUUUGCAUAGAGCGUGUUGUCGUUCUUUUGUCUAUUGCAAAAGAACACACUUAGGAACAUAAAAAAAUUUGGUAAGCUAUUUCUUUCGAGGUCUUCUUAGCGCGCUAAGAGUGAGCGUUAUCGGGGAACCGGUCCUGAUUCUUAAAUGAGUAAAGGUGCAAAGACAGUGAAAUAUAACUAAUAAAAAGAGAGCAAGAGCAAAAGCAAGCAUCACAGUGUCACUCCAUGAAAAACUUGUCUGAUCAGCAUCCAAAAGAUGUCAGACAAAAAUAUAACUCAAAGCAUAAGGCAGUCUGUCAGAAAGAGUUAUAUUUUAAAUUGAAUUUUUCUUUGAAUUUUGAAUCGAUAUAUAUAUAUAUAUAUGAAUCUAAACAAUAUAAAUGGUUGCAUAAACCAUCAUUUUCACCUAUUUUUGUUAUUAUCAUUCUGCACUGGAUAAAAAAAGUUAGAAUGUAAUUAUUUCCGGAUUUUAGAAACCCUGUCAUUAACUGUUUUCUGUAGUUAGUUCUAAUGAUGAUCUUGAGAAGCCUUUUUUUUUUUUUUUUUU